AGCAGUAGCCGCGGUAAUACGAAGGGUGCAAGCGUUAAUCGGAAUUACUGGGCGUAAAGCGUGCGUAGGCGGUUUGUUAAGUCUGCUGUGAAAUCCCCGGGCUCAACCUGGGAAUGGCAGUGGAUACUGGCAUGCUAGAGUGUGUCAGAGGAUGGUGGAAUUCCCGGUGUAGCGGUGAAAUGCGUAGAGAUCGGGAGGAACAUCAGUGGCGAAGGCGGCCAUCUGGGACAACACUGACGCUGAGGCACGAAAGCGUGGGGAGCAAACAGGAUUAGAGACCCCGGUAGUCCCUGUCUCUUAUAC
rnacentral:rRNA from 1 species